rnacentral:rRNA from 1 species
UACGUAGGGUGCGAGCGUUAAUCGGAAUUACUGGGCGUAAAGCGUGCGUAGGCGGUUGGCAAAGUCAGCUGUGAAAGCCCCGGGCUUAACCUGGGAAUGGCGGUUGAAACUAGUCGACUAGAAUCUGGCAGAGGGGGGUGGAAUUCCACGUGUAGCAGUGAAAUGCGUAGAGAUGUGGAGGAACACCGAUGGCGAAGGCAGCCCCCUGGGCUGAGAUUGACGCUCAGGCACGAAAGCGUGGGGAGCAAACGGG